GUGACUGCUGUCAGUCCAUAGAGCUGUGGGAUGACAGUCCACAGGGCUGUCGUCUCCGCCUGUUCAGGCUCUGCUCUCGGACAUUUACACUUGGGUGAAACUUAAGGUGUGCCGGCUCCCAGGAAGGACUUGUGAAAUCUCGAUCGCUAAUUGCAAAUUGCAAGAUUGACACCACUGGGUCAUAGCUUAUAGGACAAGCAAGAGAGACCACUUUAACAUAACUAAGACAGGAAUUUACGGCAAGAGGAAGACUCAGCUGCUUCUCCUGAGUUAAACACUGCAUAAUCUGGCCUGGGAAAGACAGGGUGCCAAGUUCCUGACCACAGACCAUUUGGAUCUCAUCUCACACUAACAAGAGCGGAGCCGGUCCACCACAUUCGCCAUCCAGAAGUGCGUUUCAUCGCAUCGCUCUGUAUCUGACCAGAAAAGGAGCUGGCAUGUCACAGCAAGUCAACCGAUACUGUCACCUUGGGGAGUGGAGAUGCUGGAGUUGAUUAACAGAAAGUACUGGAGAUGGGCAACUUAAGCUGUCAGUAAAGGAAGCCUCUUUGGGAUUCUAUG
rnacentral:lncRNA from 1 species